rnacentral:sRNA from 1 species
AGGAGGAAACCAAAUGAACGAAGUUCAUUUUUAUAAUGGUUUCCGACGAUUUGCCGCCGACGAAAAGGAGGGGGCGUUACCA